rfam:Schistosoma margrebowiei strain Zambia genome assembly, scaffold: SMRZ_contig0000836
GCACUGCUGAGGAGACCCAUAAUAGGACGAAACGACCGUCCAGUGC